GAGAGAGAGAGAGAGAGAGAGAGAGAGAGAGAGUCCGGAUUCAUUCUCAGGUGCCGGAGUUCCGUCGUAGCUUCUGCCAUUUCUAAGAUAUCUUCGUUUUCUCUUAAGUUUCCUAUCAGGAAGUGCUAAUGGGGACUGUUGCAGUUGAUGUGAAGGUUUCCGAUCAGGUUAAUGGAGGCUUGAAACAUGGUUGUUGCGGCAAGGGACCUGGAUAUGCAUCUCCGAUCGAAGCUAUGUCUGGUCCUAGAGAAACUAUUCUGUAUGUUACUUGUAUUUAUUCAGGGACAGGAAGAGAGAAGCCUGAUUACUUGGGGACAGUGGAUGUAGAUCCAAACUCACCUACUUAUUCAAAAGUUAUCCAUAGGCUGCCUGUGCCUUACUUGCAUGAUGAGCUACAUCAUUCUGGAUGGAAUGCCUGCAGUUCUUGCCAUGGAGAUCCAACAGCAAACCGUCGUUUUCUGGUCCUACCAUCAUUGCUUUCAGGUCGCAUAUAUGCAAUUGACACGAAGAAUCCAAGGGCUCCAGCUUUGCAUAAAGUUGUUGAACCUGAAGAUAUUGUGGCAAAGACUGGAUUAGCAUAUCCCCACACUUCUCACUGCCUUGGAUCUGGUGAUAUCAUGGUGUCUUGCCUUGGAGAUAAAGAUGGAAAUGCUGAGGGAAGUGGAUUUCUUCUUCUUGAUUCUGACUUCAAUGUGAAGGGAAGGUGGGAGAAAACAGGCCAUAGUCCACUCUUUGGCUACGAUUUUUGGUACCAACCAAGGCACAAAACUAUGAUAAGCACUUCCUGGGGAGCUCCAGCUGCUUUCACAAAAGGAUUCAAUCUUCAGCAUGUUUCGGAUGGUCUGUAUGGAAGACAUUUACAUGUAUACAGCUGGCCUGAUGGUGAACUAAAACAAACUUUGGAUCUUGGCAAUGCAGGACUGCUACCUUUGGAGAUCAGGUUUUUGCAUGAUCCUUCGAAGGCUACAGGUUUUGUAGGGUGUGCUUUAACAAGUAACAUUGUGAGAUUUUUCAAGACUGCAGAUGGAUCAUGGGAUCAUGAGAUUGUAAUUUCUGUGGAACCAUUGAAGGUGAAGAACUGGAUUCUUCCAGAAAUGCCUGGGCUUAUAACCGAUUUUUUGAUAUCUCUUGAUGAUCGUUACCUCUACUUUGUGAACUGGCUUCAUGGAGAUGUCAGACAAUAUAACAUUGAGGAUCCUAAGAAACCUGUAUUGACAGGCCAAGUGUGGGCUGGGGGACUAAUUCAAAAGGGAAGCUCUGUAGUGGCUGUGGCAGAAGAUGAGACAGAGCGGCAAUUUGAUGUCAAAGAAAUUCAGGGUCAUCGUCUGAGGGGAGGGCCUCAGAUGAUCCAACUAAGUUUAGAUGGAAAGCGGCUCUAUGUUACAAACUCACUCUUCAGUGCGUGGGAUCGCCAGUUCUACCCAGAUCUUAAGGAGAAAGGGUCGCACAUGUUACAGAUCGACGUUGACAAUGAGAAAGGAGGCCUGGCAUUAAACCCAAAUUUCUUCGUGGACUUUGGGUCUGAGCCUGAAGGACCUUCUUUGGCACAUGAGAUGAGGUAUCCAGGAGGUGAUUGCACUUCAGAUAUAUGGGAAUGAGGAUUUUAGAAGCUGUUCAGAGGAAUGGAGUAAUUUUAACUUUCAACACACUUACACGUGGGAUUCCCUUGUGGCUUAGUAACUUGAAGGGCAUGAUCAUCAACACUAAAGAGAUUUCUCUGGAGUUCCAUGGAGGACUCAGAAUCACUUGGUUUUCUUUAGCUUUCUGGAAGUCGAUGUCAAAGAUGACAGAUCCAAGGAAAAAUUCAAUUUGGGUGAGAGGGAAAAGGUAGAAAGGAUGAUGACAUUUACACUGCCCACAUUUUGGAUAGAGUGGGUAAACCCUGGUCCAUCUUCACCCAUGUAAGACACUCCAUAUGGAAUGGGAAAGAAAAUUGGUUCAUUGCGCGUA